rnacentral:rRNA from 1 species
GAUGAACGCUGGCGGCGUGCCUAAUACAUGCAAGUCGAGCGAACAGACGAGGAGCUUGCUCCUCUGACGUUAGCGGCGGACGGGUGAGUAACACGUGGAUAACCUACCUAUAAGACUGGGAUAACUUCGGGAAACCGGAGCUAAUACCGGAUAAUAUAUUGAACCGCAUGGUUCAAUAGUGAAAGACGGUUUUGCUGUCACUUAUAGAUAGAUCCGCGCCGCAUUAGCUAGUUGGUAAGGUAACGGCUUACCAAGGCAACGAUGCGUAGCCGACCUGAGAGGGUGAUCGGCCACACUGGAACUGAGACACGGUCCAGACUCCUACGGGAGGCAGCAGUAGGGAAUCUUCCGCAAUGGGCGAAAGCCUGACGGAGCAACGCCGCGUGAGUGAUGAAGGUCUUCGGAUCGUAAAACUCUGUUAUUAGGGAAGAACAAAUGUGUAAGUAACUAUGCACGUCUUGACGGUACCUAAUCAGAAAGCCACGGCUAACUACGCG